GGAGGGCUAUAGCUUAGAGGUAGCGUAUCUGCCUUGCAUGCAGAAGGUCCCAAGUUGAAUCUCUGGCAUCUCCA